CGUGACAAUACAAAUGCAGCACGUUAAACCUAUCAAACCGAUCGGUCCUAGUGGCGCAGCGGUUAACGUGUCGUGCUCGAAACUGCGAGGACGUCGGUUCGAACCUCGCUGCUGUCCCGCUCAUUUUUAUGGACGC
rnacentral:lncRNA from 1 species